CCGCACCGCCCGGGCGUCUGGCGAGGUGCGCGCCUCCCGUCCCCCUCUCCGACGCUUCGCGGCUCGGGGCCCGCCGCCCGCCUCUCACGGCCGAGCAGGGGCGGGGACAGGGCAGCACCUACCGGAAUCCGCGACUCGGACCGCCGAGGAGCCUCCGAAGACAAGCCAGCCCGGACGGCACCCUGGAGACUGGCGCCGAGGGUCCGAGCCUACGCGUGAGUGGGAGGCGCCGACGUCCACUUGACAGCGCGUCCCAGCACCACGGGCUCGCUCGCUCUCGCUCUUGGGAAAAACUGAGGAAACAAGCUUGGUUCCCGGAGCCAGCGGGGACCGUGGCUGCCAGAAUCUUCAACAGCUUGGAAAUCCUAUCACCUUGGUUCCCUGAGACUUGGAGGAGCUGACAGCUGGCUGACAAAAAAACUCAUCCAGGGAGAGAAAAGACAUAAGUGAAGUAUGAAAUUUUGAAUAACAUUUUCAGGUAACGUUCUAUUUCCAUUUAGAGUG
rnacentral:lncRNA from 1 species